AGAGUUUGAUCAUGGCUCAGAACGAACGCUGGCGGCGUGCUUAACACAUGCAAGUCGAGUGCGCGGUUGUAGCAAUACAACUGGCGCACGGCGCACGGGUGCGUAACACGUGGGUAACCUGCCCUUUGGUGGGGAAUAACUCCGCGAAAGCGGAGCUAAUUCCGCAUAAGAUCCGCAAGGAUGAAAGCCGCAAGGCGCCGAAGGAGGGGCCCGCGCCCGAUUAGCUAGUUGGUGAGGUAAUGGCUCACCAAGGCUUUGAUCGGUAGCUGGUCUGAGAGGAUGAUCAGCCACACUGGAACUGAGACACGGUCCAGACUCCUACGGGAGGCAGCAGUGGGGAAUCUUGCACAAUGGGCGAAAGCCUGAUGCAGCGACGCCGCGUGGGGGAUGAAGCAUUUCGGUGUGUAAACCCCUUUCGAUCCGGACGAAACCCCGCAAGGGAUUGACGGUACGGAUAUAAGAAGCCCCGGCUAACUACGUGCCAGCAGCCGCGGUAAGACGUAGGGGGCCAGCGUUGUUCGGAAUUACUGGGUGUAAAGGGUUCGUAGGCGGUGCGGCAAGUUGGGAGUGAAAUCUCUGGGCUUAACCCAGAGGCUGCUUCCAAAACUGCUGUGCUUGAGUGUGGGAGAGGCGCGUGGAAUUGCAGGUGUAGCGGUGAACUGCGUAGAUAUCUGCAGGAACACCCGUGGCGAAAGCGGCGCGCUGGACCACUACUGACGCUGAGGAACGAAAGCUAGGGGAGCAAACAGGAUUAGAUACCCUAGUAGUCC
rnacentral:rRNA from 1 species